UACGGAGGGUGCAAGCGUUAUCCGGAUUUAUUGGGUUUAAAGGGUGCGUAGGCGGAAUUUUAAGUCAGUGGUGAAAGCCUGCAGCUUAACUGUAGAAUUGCCAUUGAUACUGAUUUUCUUGAAUGUAGUUGAAGUAGGCGGAAUGUGUCAUGUAGCGGUGAAAUGCAUAGAUAUGACACAGAACACCGAUUGCGAAGGCAGCUUACUAAGCUAUUAUUGACGCUGAGGCACGAAAGCGUGGGGAGCGAACAGG
rnacentral:rRNA from 1 species